rnacentral:rRNA from 1 species
GUAGGGUGCAAGCGUUAAUCGGAAUUACUGGGCGUAAAGCGUGCGCAGGCGGUUAUGUAAGACAGAUGUGAAAUGCCCGGGCUUAACCUGGGAACUGCAUUUGUGACUGCAUGGCUAGAGUUUGGCAGAGGGGGGUAGAAUUCCACGUGUAGCAGUGAAAUGCGUAGAUAUGUGGAGGAACACCGAUGGCGAAGGCAGCCCCCUGGGUCAAGACUGACGCUCAUGCACGAAAGCGUGGGGGGCAAACAGGAUUAGAUACCCUGGUAGUCCACGCCCUAAACGAUGUCUACUAGUUGUCGGGUCUUAAUUGACUUGGUAACGCAGCUAACGCGUGAAGUAGACCGCCUGGGGAGUACGGUCGCAAGAUUA